UAGAGUAAUGCGUGACCAACCUGCCCCAUGCUCCAGAAUAGCUCUUGGAAACGGGUGGUAAUGCUGGAUGCUCCAACUUGACGCAUGUCUUGUUGGGAAAGUGUUUAGUGGCAUGGGAUGGGGUCGCGUCCUAUCAGCUUGUAGGCGGGGUAAUGGCCCACCUAGGCUUCGACGGGUAGCCGGCCUGAGAGGGCGGACGGCCACAUUGGGACUGAGAUACGGCCCAGACUCCUACGGGAGGCAGCAGUU
rnacentral:rRNA from 1 species